GGAGUGGUGCUCGAGUGGUUGAAGAGGCACGCCUGGAAAGCGUGUAUACGCCAAAAGCGUAUCGAAGGUUCGAAUCCUUUCCACUCCG
rnacentral:tRNA from 1 species